rnacentral:lncRNA from 1 species
AUUAGGAUUUUAGAGGGAGCAAUAUCGUGCGAAUUACGCUUUCGACUCCUCAUAUUUCUUCACAUUUCUUCACAAAAGUAAAAAAAAAAAAAAAUCUUACAAUUUUUAAGAAGAGCCACAGACAACUGAAAAUCCUUUUGAAACUGAAGUACCCCUACACCUUGUCCUAUCCACCAAUUUAUCCACCAAUCUCAUCUGUAAAAAACUAUUAAAGAUCUAUCAGGCAAUCAUAAAUAAAAACAAAAUAAAGUAACAAACAGAAAAAUAAAUACCUGGUUCAACCUCCACAUUUUUAUAGAGGCACAAAAUCCAGGAUCCUAUCAUCAGAAUAAAAGUCCCAACACCAACACCGACUAGGAAUACUACCCAGUCAUACUGUCCCAAGUCUUCCUUCCAAACUUCUACCGAGUCUGUAAUAGCCACUUGAAAAAAAGAUGCAACGACAUACAACAGGAGAGAGUAAAAAUGGUUGCGUUUUACUGCAUUUGAAUCCACCGGGUCACCGUCGUUAAAGCAGGUGCGUACUAAACCAGCGGUGACGAUUGCCGAGCACACGUGUGUCAUCAACUUACCAAAAUAGCGUCCUUUCUCAGAGACCCCCAACAAAAAAAAAGGAAGUACUAUAGAAAUAUGAAUGGUUGAAACGACGGAAGUAACAAUGCACAACAGUAAGAGAUGGAUCUUGGAGUCGGAGUGUGUGGCGGGAGCAUGUUGAAACUCCAUUAAAGAAGCUAUAACAAAAGGGAGAAGAUUCAAUAUUCAAACAGUAAUAUCCCAAAAACCAAGAACUACAUCCGUGCACACAACAGACCAGGUAAAAAAGUUUCGCAAAUAGAUUGAAAACCAAGCAUCCCUAUUUAAGAACAGCAAACAUCAGCAAUAGCAAAGCACAAGUAAAACCAUAGCAAUAUAAAGCAAAAAUAAGAAAUCUAUAAGGAUUAACAAUCAAUCUCACCAUUUCAACAUCGGGGAUAUCGAAAUAACAUCACAUUUGAUUUUCAGGUAAGAUUUGAGCCAACCAAUUAUCUUAUUCUUUUCUAUCACUACAACAGCACAAGUAAAACCAUAGCAAUAUAAAGCAAAAAUAAGAAAUCUAUAAGGAUUAACAAUCAAUCUCACCAUUUCAACAUCGGGGAUAUCGAAAUAACAUCACAUUUGAUUUUCAGGUAAGAUUUGAGCCAACCAAUUAUCUUAUUCUUUUCUAUCACUACAUCCGCACAAGUAAAACCAUAGCAAUAUAAAGCAAAAAUAAGAAAUCUAUAAGGAUUAACAAUCAAUCUCACCAUUCCAACUCCAGGGAUAUCGAAAUAACAUCACAUUUGAUUUUCAGGUUAGAUUUGAGCCAACCAAUUAUCUUAUUAUUUUCUAUCACUACUUCCGCAUAAGUAAAGCCAUAACAAUAUAAAGCAAAAAUAAGAAAUCUAUAAGGAUUAACAAUCAAUCUAACCAUUCAAACUCCAGGGAUAUCGGAAUAACAUCACAUUGCAUCAAUAGAAGAUGAAGAACAAAGCGUGUAAGAAGAUGAAGUUCUAUAUUGUAACGUACAUUGACAUAAAAGAUCAAAUCAGACCCAUAUAGGAAGAUGAAGAAGAUGAAUUAGAAGAAGAAGAAGAACCUACCCAUAAAAUGUCUGAGGAUUGGCCCAACGCGUUCGACUCCUCUCCAAGAACUUGCGGCAAUGUCGUGCGAAUUAGGGUUUUAGAGGGAGCAAUGUCGUGCGAAUUACGUUUUCGACUCCUCAUAUUUCUUCACAUUUCUUCACAAAAGUAAAAAAAAAAAAAAAUCUUACAAUUUUUAAGAAGAGCCACAGACAACUGAAAAUCCUUUUGAAACUGAAGUACCCCUACACCUUGUCCUAUCCACCAAUUUAUCCACCAAUCUCAUCUGUAAAAAACUAUUAAAGAUCUAUCAGGCAAUCAUAAAUAAAAACAAAAUAAAGUAACAAACAGAAAAAUAAAUACCUGGUUCAACCUCCACAUUUUUAUAGAGGCACAAAAUCCAGGAUCCUAUCAUCAGAAUAAAAGUCCCAACACCAACACCGACUAGGAAUACUACCCAGUCAUACUGUCCCAAGUCUUCCUUCCAAACUUCUACCG